AUUGAACGCUGGCGGCAGGCCUAACACAUGCAAGUCGAGCGGUAGAGAGAAGCUUGCUUCUCUUGAGAGCGGCGGACGGGUGAGUAAUGCCUAGGAAUCUGCCUGGUAGUGGGGGAUAACGUUCGGAAACGGACGCUAAUACCGCAUACGUCCUACGGGAGAAAGCCGGGGACCUUCGGGCCUCGCGCUAUCAGAUGAGCCUAGGUCGGGUGAGCUAGUUGGUGAGGUAAUGGCUCACCAAGGCGACGAUCCGUAACUGGUCUGAGAGGAUGAUCAGUCACACUGGAACUGAGACACGGUCCAGACUCCUACGGGAGGCAGCAGUGGGGAAUAUUGGACAAUGGGCGAAAGCCUGAUCCAGCCAUGCCGCGUGUGUGAAGAAGGUCUUCGGAUUGUAAAGCACUUUAAGUUGGGAGGAAGGGUUGUAGAUUAAUACUCUGCAAUUUUGACGUUACCGACAGAAUAAGCACCGGCUAACUCUGUGCCAGCCGCCGCCGUAA
rnacentral:rRNA from 1 species